GCAGUAGCCGCGGGAAAACAGAGGGUGCAAGCGUUAAUCGGAAUUACUGGGCGUAAAGCGCGCGUAGGUGGUUUGUUAAGUUGGAUGUGAAAGCCCCGGGCUCAACCUGUGAACUGCAUCCAAAACUGGCAAGCUAGAGUACGGUAGAGGGUGGUGGAAUUUCCUGUGUAGCGGUGAAAUGCGUAGAUAUAGGAAGGAACACCAGUGGCGAAGGCGACCACCUGGACUGAUACUGACACUGAGGUGCGAAAGCGUGGGGAGCAAACAGGAUUAGAUACCCGUGUAGUCCCUGUCUCUUAUAA
rnacentral:rRNA from 1 species